AUGGUCGAGCUCGAGCCAAAGGUCAAGGGAAUACUUGUGAGUAGUGUAUUCAUAAGAAGCUGUGGCGCGAGGUCUGAAGCAGCUAGCAGAGUCCUCGUUUUACUUUCGCGCCUCUCUUUAUAUCUCCCUUCCUCCUGCACAUCGCUCCACCUCCACGCACACUACUAUCUUUGGCUUUGGCUCCAGCUCCACCUCCUUCCUCCUGCUGAGUGCUAUUUUUCUCCGCGCACAGCCCACAUCAACCCGCUACGCCUUGGGUCACCUCGGCGCCUUGGAGGCAGGGGGAGUUCACAGAGCCCCAGGAUGGACUCCGCCAUUGGCGCGGCCAAGUGGGUGCUGGGCAAGGCGCUGGCCCCCGUCACGGAUGGCUUGCUGGAGUCUUGGGCGGCUAGUGCCCAGCUUGACCGCAACAUCAACGCCCUCAAGAUGGAGCUGCUGUAUGCGCACGGGAUGCUCGAGAACGCGCAGGGCAGGGGAAUCCAUGGCGUCGCGCUCAAGGAGCUCCUGCGCCAGCUGGAGCAGCUGGCGUACGGGGCUGAUGAUGUGCUGGAUGAGCUGGAGUACUUCCGCAUCCAGGACGCCCUUAAAGGGACCUUCCAUGCCGCCAACGUCAACGCCGUAGGUUCCGUCCAAGGCCUCCGCAUCAAUGUUGAGCACACGGCGAGACAUGUCGCCAGCAAACUCAAGUGCCUCCCGUGCUUCGGUGCUGUUAGCCGUGGUGGUGACCAAGAAAAUGAUGGCUCUCGCCUACACCUGUGUGUCAGGCGGGGCAUCAGCUCCUCGCCACCGACGCCCGCCAGCAAGGGGGUUGUCAAGAAGGUUGAUGGCAGAUGCAUGCCCAAGGUCAUCUCAAGUGCUCGCAACACUGCCCACACUUUCGGUAAACACUUUCCUUGCUACUCUCCCAUAUCUGUCCACGGUGAUGAUGCUCUAGAAACACCAGAAGUGAUGUUUGAUAGGGUACAAAUGUCUACAACAAUGAUGGACAUGGUAGUGCAGCUGAAGGAAGUAUGUGCUAAGGUCUCCAUAAUUCUUAAUCUAGAUUUGUUCGGCUCCAGCCGCAGCCAUACCCAAGAAAUUGCUAUAAACAGAUCCAAAACCACAUCAGAGAUUACAGAACCUAAGUUAUAUGGGAGGGAUGACCAGAAAAAGAAAAUUAUAGAGGGCAUUGUUAGUGGCGACUACUGUCCCGAUCAACUUAACGUUCUUCCAUUUUUUGGACCGGGGGGUAUUGGAAAAACAACUUUUACACAACACAUAUGCCAAGAAGUGAAUAGCCAUUUCCAAGCUUCAAUUUGGAUAUGUGUCUCUCUUGACUUCAGUGCAGAUAGAUUGGCACAAGAGAUAGUCAACAAAAUCGGUGGUGAGGAGGGGAAGACUAGUGCUGAAGAACUUAUCCCACAAAGAUUAAAAGCUAAGAGAUUCUUACUUGUGUUGGAUGAUGUGUGGACAUAUCGAGAGGAUGAGUGGGAUAAACUAAUAGCAAUUUUAAGGAAGGUAGAGUCCAAGGGUAAUUUGAUUAUAGUCACAACUCGAAUACCAAAGGUAGCACAGAUGGUUAGGACAACCAAUUGUGAACUAAAAUUGGAAAGACUAGAUGAUGCAAGUACCAUGCGUUUCUUCAAAGCAUGUGUAUUUGGUAACAAGCAACAACCAUGGAAAGAACAUCCUGAAUUAUCUGAAACUGGUCACGAAGUAGUGCGCCAUUUGAAAGGUUCCCCCCUUGCAACUAAAACCGUGGGUAGAUUACUUAGAAACCAACUUACUUUGGAGCAUUGGAGAAAAGUUCUACAAAGCAAAGAAUGGGAACUACAAACCGGUGAGAAUGACAUCAUGCCAGCCCUCAAACUUAGCUAUGAUUAUCUUCCUUUCCAUCUAAAACAAUUGUUUGUAUAUUGUGCUUUGUUUCCUGAAGAUUAUGAAUUUGAUAGCAAGGAGUUAGUUCAACUGUGGAUAGGACUAGGUAUUUUGUAUCCUUGUGAUCAGAAUAGAAGGAUUGAAGAUGUUGGACUAGACCAUCUGCGUGAGUUGGUCAAUUAUGGAUUUUUCAAGAAAGACAAAAAAAAAAAAGAUGGUCGUUAUUUUUAUGUUAUCCAUGAUCUAUUUCAUGAAUUGGCCACCAAGGUUUCGUCAUAUGAAUGUGUUAGUAUAUGUAGUUCUAAUGUCAGGUCCGUACACAUCUCCCCAUCUGUACGUCAUUUAUCCAUAAUUGUAAAUUUUAAAGAUGUCAAUGAUAGGAUGACUUUAGACGAGUAUAAGAAGGAUUUGAAAGCAUUAAGUAAAAGAUUAAAAGUUGAAAACCUACGUACUCUGAUGCUGUUUGGACGAUACCAUGGAAGCUUCGCCAAGACCUUUGGUGAUCUGUUUAGAAAAGCUAAAUCCCUUCGCACUAUUUUUCUGUCUGGAGCAUCAUACCCUACGGAGAAUAUUCUACAUAACUUUUCAGAAACUAUCCAUCUUCGUUACCUAAGGAUCGAGCCAAGAGAUUGGAGAUGCAACAUCGAAUUACCAAGUACGUUGUUCAGAUUUUAUCAUUUAGAGAUAAUAAAUAUAGAAAAAUGGAAUGGUCCUGUUUCAAUAAGACAAAUCACUAGCCUUGUAAAGUUGCGCCAUUUUCUUGUGCCAGAAAAUAUGCCUCAAGUUCAUUCUGACAUAUCUGAGGUGGGAAAACUUAAAUUGCUCUCACAAUUAAGAAGAUUUGAAGUUGGAAAAGAAAUUAAUGGUUUCGAACUAAGUCAGCUAGAGCAAUUAACAGAGCUUGGAGGGUCACUUAGCAUUUAUAACCUUGAAAAGGUGAAAGAAAAAGGGGCACAGGGAAAGGAAAUAAGACCAAUACACAGAAACUACUUAAGUGAACUAACAUUAGAAUGGGGUGUGAACCGAUCUAACAAGUUUCCCACAAGAGAAGAAAAUGUUCUUGAGAACCUUAUACCACAUAGUGAGCUUCGAGAUCUGUGCAUUAGAGGGCACGGAGGCACUAGUUGCCCAACAUGGCUAGGUGAGAACAUCUUUGUCAAAAAUUUGGAAUCCCUCCACUUGGAUGAUGUGUCUUGGAAAACUUUUCCACCAUUAGGAGAGUUCUGGUCGGUUGAUAAGCCCCGUGAUGAGUGCAAAAGUUGCAGCAUCUCAAGCCCAAGCUUUCAAAACAAUAUUCAUGAAAAAAAAGGCUUUAAUAACUUGAAAAGGCUAGUGUUUGUUAAUAUACCAAAACUGACAAAGUGGGCUGGAAAUCAAACUUGUGGGCUCUUCUCCCGCCUGGAAGUACUCAUUAUUGAAGACUGCCCUGAACUUAUAGAGUUGCCGUUUUCAUGUUCUGCUUGCUCUCAACCAGAGCAAGAAGGUGGGAACAUGACUUGCUUCCCUAAACUACGGGAGCUCAAGAUUGUAAGAUGCCCAAACCUGAGGACAAUGCCUCCUAUCCCUUGGACCCAUGAUCCAUGCUCCAUUGAGAUAGCACAAACAGGCACAAAAUUUGUGAACCUCACUUACGCGGAAAGAAAAUAUGGAAAACCAGGAUUAUGUUUGGAAAUUUGGGCUGCGGAUGGUACAGAUAGCUUGUUUUGGAGUGAGUUUGAUUUCUUUAAUUUGAGUCAUCUAAAAGAGUUGACUAUAACCAAUUGCCCUCCUUUGCCGUUGGAUAAAAUCCAAAUGCUAACAUCUCUGCAGCACCUCAAUAUAAGGGGUUGUUCAAGUAUUGUCAUGUCGCCAAUCAGAGGCGAGAGCCAUGUCCUGUACCAGGUUCCAGUUGAAGAACUCAGCAUUUCUCAAAGUGGUGCUAGCGGGAAAGAACUGACUCAACUGCUCUGUCAUUUCCCGAAGCUCACCGGCCUGCAUAUAGUUUUUUGCGAAAAGAUAACAGAACUUGGUGUGUCGGAGCAGCAGAGUGGAGCACAGCAGCAACAGACCGCAGAAGGAGGACUGCUGCUCUUGCCUACCCAACUACAGAAGUUGAUCCUCCAACAUUGCCGUCAGCUGAGAAUACUCCCCAAUUCAGGGGGCGACAACAACGAGGCAGCAGGAGGUCUCCAGCGUCUACACUCCCUCCGUGAAGUGAGCUCAGAGAAUUGCCCCAAUUUGCUUUCCUCCUAUUCAGGCUCCUCCUCUUGUUUCCCUUUCCCGGCAUUCCUUCAAAAACUCAAACUGUCCAACCUGGAAGAACUCCAUCUGGCCCUCACAAACCUGGCCAACCUGGAUGAACUCCAUCUUAGCGACAUGAAGGACCUCACAAACCUAAGCAUCCGGAGUUCCCCAAAACUACAUACCCUGAACAUACAAAACUCCUCCGGAGUUCUUUCGGUGUCCAUCUGCAACCUCCUCUCUACAUCCCUCACCACAUUGGUCAUUGAGGGCAGCAGAGAGGUGGAGCCCAUCCCAGGAGAGGCCCUCCUGCUUCUCACCUCCCUCCAAGUUCUCGAAUUUCUUUCCUGCGACAAAUUGCAAUCCCUCCCUGCAGGUCUACAUACACUCUCCUACAUUAACUACUUAUGUAUCUAUGGAUGCCCAUCCCUCCAGUCGCUGCCCAAGGAAGGCCUCCCGAGAUCUUUGCAAAGAUUAAGAAUCCUCGGAUGUUCCAUGAAAUCACUGCCCAAGGACAGCCUCCCGAGUACUCUGAAGCAAUUACUGAUCUCCAGCUGUUCUGAGCUCGAAUUACUUCCCACUUUUUCCGAUGGCGCUUCUCUGCAGAAAUUAGAGAUCUGGAAUUGUCCUGCCAUCAAAUCGGUGCCCAAGGAUGCCCUCCCGAGUUCUCUGCAGGAAUUAGUGAUCAGGAUGUGUCCUGGCAUCAAAUCCUUUCCCGAGGACAGGCUCCAAAAAUUCCUGCGAGUACUAGAUGUUAGUGAUGACAAUAGUGAGGAGCUUAAAAGGCAGUGCCGCAGGUUAACAGGGACAAUUCCAAUAAUCAGAGCCUGA
rnacentral:rRNA from 1 species